rnacentral:rRNA from 1 species
AUUGAACGCUGGCGGCAGGCCUAACACAUGCAAGUCGAACGGUAGCACAGAGAGCUUGCUCUCGGGUGACGAGUGGCGGACGGGUGAGUAAUGUCUGGGAAACUGCCUGAUGGAGGGGGAUAACUACUGGAAACGGUAGCUAAUACCGCAUAAUGUCGCAAGACCAAAGAGGGGGACCUUCGGGCCUCUUGCCAUCAGAUGUGCCCAGAUGGGAUUAGCUAGUAGGUGGGGUAACGGCUCACCUAGGCGACGAUCCCUAGCUGGUCUGAGAGGAUGACCAGCCACACUGGAACUGAGACACGGUCCAGACUCCUACGGGAGGCAGCAGUGGGGAAUAUUGCACAAUGGGCGCAAGCCUGAUGCAGCCAUGCCGCGUGUAUGAAGAAGGCCUUCGGGUUGUAAAGUACUUUCAGCGGGGAGGAAGGUGUCGUGGUUAAUAACCAUAGCAAUUGACGUUACCCGCAGAAGAAGCACCGGCUAACUCCGUGCCAGCAGCCGCGGUAAUACGGAGGGUGCAAGCGUUAAUCGGAAUUACUGGGCGUAAAGCGCACGCAGGCGGUCUGUCAAGUCGGAUGUGAAAUCCCCGGGCUCAACCUGGGAACUGCAUUCGAAACUGGCAGGCUGGAGUCUUGUAGAGGGGGGUAGAAUUCCAGGUGUAGCGGUGAAAUGCGUAGAGAUCUGGAGGAAUACCGGUGGCGAAGGCGGCCCCCUGGGACAAAGACUGACGCUCAGGUGCGAAAGCGUGGGGAGCAAACAGGAUUAGAUACCCUGGUAGUCCACGCCGUAAACGAUGUCGAUUUGGAGGUUGUGCCCUUGAGGCGUGGCUUCCGGAGCUAACGCGUUAAAUCGACCGCCUGGGGAGUACGGCCGCAAGGUUAAAACUCAAAUGAAUUGACGGGGGCCCGCACAAGCGGUGGAGCAUGUGGUUUAAUUCGAUGCAACGCGAAGAGCCUUACCUGGUCUUGACAUCCACAGAACUUAGCAGAGAUGCUUUGGUGCCUUCGGGAACUGUGAGACAGGUGCUGCAUGGCUGUCGUCAGCUCGUGUUGUGAAAUGUUGGGUUAAGUCCCGCAACGAGCGCAACCCUUAUCCUUUGUUGCCAGCGGUUAGGCCGGGAACUCAAAGGAGACUGCCAGUGAUAAACUGGAGGAAGGUGGGGAUGACGUCAAGUCAUCAUGGCCCUUACGACCAGGGCUACACACGUGCUACAAUGGCGCAUACAAAGAGAAGCGACCUCGCGAGAGCAAGCGGACCUCAUAAAGUGCGUCGUAGUCCGGAUUGGAGUCUGCAACUCGACUCCAUGAAGUCGGAAUCGCUAGUAAUCGUAGAUCAGAAUGCUACGGUGAAUACGUUCCCGGGCCUUGUACACACCGCCCGUCACACCAUGGGAGUGGGUUGCAAAAGAAGUAGGUAGCUUAACCUUCGGGAGGGCGCUUACCACUUUGUGAUUCAUGACUGGGGUGA